rnacentral:rRNA from 1 species
ACGGGAGGCAGCAGUGGGGAAUAUUGCACAAUGGGGGAAACCCUGAUGCAGCGACGCCGCGUGAAGGAAGAAGUAUCUCGGUAUGUAAACUUCUAUCAGCGGGGAAGGUAAUGACGGGACCUGACUAAGAAGCCCCGGCUAACUACGUGCCAGCAGCCGCGGUAAUACGUAGGGGGCAAGCGUUAUCCGGAUUUACUGGGUGUAAAGGGAGCGUAGACGGAAUGGCAAGUUUGAAGUGAAAACCCUGGGCUUAACCCAGGACUUGCUUUGAAAACUGUCAAUCUAGAGUACUGGAGGGGUAUGGGGAAUUCCUAGUGUAGUAGUGAAAUGCGUAGAUAUUAGGAGGAACACCGGAGGCGAAGGCGCCAUACUGGACAGAUACUGACGUUGAGGCUCGAAAGCGUGGGGAGCAAACAGGAUUAGAUACCCUGGUA